CAUCUCUACUUCCUUUUACAACAUCGCUGGCUGCUUACAAAUACUCAGGAGAAGGCGAAAGCAUAAUACAAGUGUAAAACAGAAGAAAUAGGAUAAAUCUUAUUAGGAUAAAGCCGGAUGGAAGUCUUAUAAAGAAUACAAUUUACUGUAUUUUUCCGGACGUACUGUCCAAGGACGAGAGAUGGGGAAAUCGGUGCUGCAGAAUCCAGCCAGCCUCCCCUGCUGAGGUGAAGGUUUGGGCAACGGUGUCGAGGAAUACUAUCCAGUCGGCAGGAUGUUUUCGGGACAAUGCUAGCCUGGAUCUUGCUGAGCUUCAUUUUUUCAGCCUCCUCGGAGCCAGAUGGCACAACAACGGCAGUGAAAUUUGGAGAGUCAGCCACCCUGCUAUGUGAUGCAGAACACCCCUCACACGAUGUAUAUAGUUUAUGGAAAUAUUGUGGCGAGGAGGUUUUUACGUUCUAUAAUGGAAGGGUCAUCAAGAAUAAAAGAAACCUGACCUUUGGAGAAGAACAUCUUAGGAAAGGAAACUUUUCCGUGACCAUUGAGUCAGUCCAGUUUUCUGACGAAGGCAACUAUGAGUGCUCUGUACAAAGAACAGAAGCAGAGAACAUGAAGAAAUGUGCAAGUAUCAGACUGACUGUCCAAGGUCGAUCUGAACACCAUAAGAUACCAAGCGGAGGCGACUUGACUGUGAAUCUGUUCACAGGAGACGACGUCACUGUGUUUUUCAGCCACAAUCUCAUAUGUAAUGUGACAAACGGGGUGAAUCUGUGCACUAACCCGUAUAAUACGCGUUUCACCAUGAUGGAUAAGACCUUGACACUACACAAAGUCAAGCCAAAAGACCAAGGGAACUACACAGUGAAGUGCUCUGACAGUCAGAAGGCAAUCAACACUGUGUCACUCACUGUGGAAGGUGACGGUCAGCCUUCAGAUAAUAAAACUCAGGAGACAAAAAGUAGCCAAGAAAGAAAUAGCCGAUGUCGAAUAUUUUCAUGCAUCAUCAUUGGAAUCUCUUUCUUAUUGUUGGUAAUUAUUAUUGCCUUGCUCUGGUUAAGAAGAAGAAAGCAUCUCUCUUCUGGGGAGGUGAUGCUGGGAAACAUACUGUAACAUUAUCAGCUACCCCCAAUAGUACAUGCAUUGUACUAUUUCUACCGUUCUCCUGGGAAAUUCGUCACCUUGAUGAGCUCAAUUACUUACCUGGACCUGGUAAACCUGUAAACCGCUCAUCUAUAAACAAUUAAAAUAGUUGCAUAGUCUUUCUUUCUGAUCUACCCGAGUUCAGCCAUUUUGUUUUUUUGCUCUUCUUUGAAAACUUUUUAAACUUCAACUAGCUGUUGUAUUUUCUUCCUCUGUUUAAAUAAAGCUUUAACUUUAAAACAAGGCUGUAACAGCUUUGCCAUUUCCGUGAGAUGCUUGUGUGCAACUACAUUUUAAACAUUGUACAUGUGAAAUAAUGAGCCCCGACUAGCUCCGUUGGUAGAGCCUGAGACUCAUAAUCUCAGGGUAGAGGGUUCGUGUCCCACGUCGGGCGCAAGGACCUCCAUGUUGGAGGUUGGGCACAAGGCCAACAACCCUGUCCUGUAAAAAACUAAUGUAAUGGAAACAGCAACAGGAUGUUGGUGCCCCUACAUGCCGGAAGGUGGCAUAAUAGGCAAACAUCCACAUGUGAAACAUCUCACACGUACAACAAUAUGUGAAAUCUGAAAUAUUCUGACCAAUAAUAGCACU